ensembl:lncRNA
AAGAAACCAAGCCUGCCAGCACUUUGAUCUUAAACUUCCAGCCUCCAGAACUGGAUGUGUUUGUGUGCUGUAAAUCAUCGUCCCAUUCAGUGUAUUUGCCUGGGACUUGGUUUUCUGUGUUGACAACAUAAAAUGAAGCUGACUUCUAGCGCUACAAUAUUUCACUGUGAUCUGAGCCUCCCAAAGAUGAAACCUGGAAAAUACAAAUUUAAAAGGCACCUCAUAUAAACUGUACUGUUAUUUUAAUCAGCACUUCUAUUCACUUUCUUUUUCUUUUUUUAUUUACCAGCUUUCCUUCUGAUUGUAUCAUAAUAACUGUCUAGACACUGUUCCCAACUGUGAUGGAUUUUAAGAGACUGUACAAAUGAGGCCAGAAAAAAAUAAAUUAGCAGUACUGUGCACUAAAGUGCCUCCGUUUAAAGCACUAUGAAUAGAAAAAGCACUGACCACUUACAUAUCAGCUAAGAUAGCCUACUAUCUAUUUAUUUUCUUCAAGGUUGUGAUUAGAAAGUUCUUAUCCAACUUGCUGUCCAAAGGUAUAAUAAAUAAUGACUUACAACAGU